rnacentral:tRNA from 1 species
GGUCCCGUAGGUAGCGGUUAUCACGUCGCCCUGUCACGGCGAAGAUCGCGGGUUCGAUUCCCGUCGGGACCG